CCUGCCUCCUCCUCUCUGAAACUGGAAUAACCAGUGUGAGUCACCACCCCUGGGGACCAAACUUAAGCCCUGUACUUGCACAGUGAGUGCUUUACUGACUGAGCUCUCUCUCCAGCCUGCCCAGCAUUAAUCUUGAGGCAAAUCAAAACAUCAAAACAUCCUGGAAGACUGGUUUGCAGGGAGCAUGAAUGACUGUCAGCCAGCCUGCCUCAUACAACAUAAGCUGGGACCACAACAGUUAAGUGACAAUUUGUCAACACCUAUCGAAGCUACAAAUGCACAGCCUGUGAUCCAAUAAUAACCCUGGGGACUUAUCAUCAUGACAGACAGUGCCUGCACAGACAGAAGCUUACAAGAAGGAGGCUUUAACACACUGCUAAGAAGAAAUCUCCAAAUUACUGACUGGAAGAAGAAGGUGUGCACUACAUGCAUGUAAUGGCCAUGGGCGCCAGAAGAGGGCGCCAGAUCCCCUGGCCUGGAGCUUGGCGGGUGCUGGGAAUCAAUUCCAGGUCCUCUGGGACAGUGGCCAGUGCUAUUAACCACUAAACCAUUUCUGCAGCCCCUACACACGAUUCUUUUUGAAAAAGAAACUUGUACGGAAAUCUGUUGUACUAAAUGAUAGCAUUGGUAUAAAAAGAGAGAUGUGGCAUUUAUACUCAUUUUUACACUGGAAAGAUAGACAAGAGAUGAUAAUUUAGUAAAGGAACCGUGAGCGCCUGCCUUGAGUUCCAGCACUCGAGAGCAGAGGCAGGAAG
rnacentral:lncRNA from 1 species